ensembl:snRNA U6 U6 spliceosomal RNA
GCUUGCUUCAGCAAUAUAUAUAUACUAAAAUUAAAACAAUACAUAAAAGAUGAGCAUGGCUCUUGCACAUGAAUGACACACAAAUUCAUGAAGCAUUUAGUUUUUUA